rnacentral:rRNA from 1 species
GGGGUGCAGCAGGCGCGAAACCUCCGCAAUGUGAGAAAUCGCGACGGGGGGAUCCCAAGUGCCAUUCUUAACGGGAUGGCUUUUCAUUAGUGUAAAGAGCUUUUGGAAUAAGGGCUGGGCAAGACCGGCGCCAGCCGCCGCGGUAACACCGGCAGCUCUAGUGGUAGCAGUUUUUAUUGGGCCUAAAGCGUCCGUAGCCGGUUUAAUAAGUCUCUGGUGAAAUCCUGUAGCUUAACUGUGGGAAUUGCUGGAGAUACUAUUAGACUUGAGACCGGGAGAGGUUAGAGGUACUCCCAGGGUAGAGGUGAAAUUCUGUAAUCCUGGGAGGACCGCCUGUUGCGAAGGCGUCUAACUGGAACGGUUCUGACGGUGAGGGACGAAAGUUAGGGGCGCGAACCGGAUUAGAUACCCGGGUAGUCCUAACCGUAAACGAUGCGGACUUGGUGUUGGGGUGGCUUUGAGCUGCUCCAGUGCCGAAGGGAAGCUGUUAAGUCCGCCGCCUGGGAAGUACGGUCGCAAGACUGAAACUUAA